rnacentral:rRNA from 1 species
AGUGAACGCUGGCGGUAGGCCUAACACAUGCAAGUCGAACGGCAGCACAGUAAGAGCUUGCUCUUACGGGUGGCGAGUGGCGGACGGGUGAGGAAUACAUCGGAAUCUACUUUUUCGUGGGGGAUAACGUAGGGAAACUUACGCUAAUACCGCAUACGACCUACGGGUGAAAGCAGGGGAUCUUCGGACCUUGCGCGAUUGAAUGAGCCGAUGUCGGAUUAGCUAGUUGGCGGGGUAAAGGCCCACCAAGGCGACGAUCCGUAGCUGGUCUGAGAGGAUGAUCAGCCACACUGGAACUGAGACACGGUCCAGACUCCUACGGGAGGCAGCAGUGGGGAAUAUUGGACCAUGGGCGCAAGCCUGAUCCAGCCAUACCGCGUGGGUGAAGAAGGCCUUCGGGUUGUAAAGCCCUUUUGUUUGGAAAGAAAAGCAGCAGGUUAAUACCCCGCUGUUCUGACGGUACCCAAAGAAUAAGCACCGGCUAACUUCGUG